GACGAACGCUGGCGGCGUGCUUAACACAUGCAAGUCGAACGGAAAGGCCUCAGCUUGCUUGGGUACUCGAGUGGCGAACGGGUGAGUAACACGUGGGUGAUCUGCCUUGCACUCUGGGAUAAGCUUGGGAAACUGGGUCUAAUACCGGAUAUGAACUGCCUUUAGUGUGGUGGUUGGAAAGUUUUUUCGGUGCAAGAUGAGCUCGCGGCCUAUCAGCUUGUUGUUGGGGUAAUGGCCUACCAACGCGUCGACGGGUAGCCGGACUGAGAGGGUGUACGGCCACAUUGGGACUGAGAUACGGCACAGACUGCUACGGGAGGGAGAAGGGGGGAAUAUUGCACAAUGGGCGGAAGCCUGAUGCAGAGACGCCGCGUGGGGGAUGACGGUCUUCGGGUUGAAAAAUAAUUUCGACAGGGACGAAGCUUUUUGUGACGGUACCUGUAUAAGAAGCAACGGCUAACUACGUG
rnacentral:rRNA from 1 species